UACGGAGGAUCCAAGCGUUAUCCGGAAUCAUUGGGUUUAAAGGGUCCGUAGGCGGGCCUGUAAGUCAGGGGUGAAAGUCUGUGGCUCAACCAUAGAAUUGCCUUUGAUACUGCAGGUCUUGAGUCAUGGGGUUGCCGGAACAUGUGGUGUAGCGGUGAAAUGCAUAGAUAUCACAUAGAACACCGAUCGCGAAGGCAGGUGACCAACCAUGUACUGACGCUGAUGGACGAAAGCGUGGGUAGCGAACGGG
rnacentral:misc_RNA from 1 species